rnacentral:misc_RNA from 1 species
UCAAACUUGGUCAUUUAGAGGAAGUAAAAGUCGUAACAAGGUUUCCGUAGGUGAACCUGCGGAAGGAUCAUUAACACGUAUCCACGUAUCAACCCCUCUGUGCACAUGCAAAAACUGAAGGCAUGGUCUUAGUGUGCUUCGUUCGUCCUAAUGAUGGGAGCUUCUUUUACCGGGGGCUCGGGACACAUGAAUGAGGUAUGCGUUCGACGAUCUGCCGCUUUUUUCCCAUCAUUAACCUUUUUUAAUUACUUUAACCCCUUUUGUACUUCUCAUGUACUGAACCAAUUCUUUCGAUGCUCGCAAGAGCGACGAAAAGAUAUUACGAAACUAAAAGAACAACUCUUAGCAACGGAUAUCUUGGUUCCCGCAUCGAUGAAGAACGCAGC